AUUGAACGCUGGCGGCAUGCUUUACACAUGCAAGUCGAACGGUAACAGGCCGCAAGGUGCUGACUAGUGGCGAACGGGUGAGUAAUGCAUCGGAACGUGCCCAGUCGUGGGGGAUAACUACUCGAAAGAGUAGCUAAUACCGCAUACGAUCUAUGGAUGAAAGCGGGGGACCGUAAGGCCUCGCGCGAUUGGAGCGGCCGAUGUCAGAUUAGGUAGUUGGUGGGGUAAAGGCUCACCAAGCCAACGAUCUGUAGCUGGUCUGAGAGGACAACCAGCCACACUGGGACUGAGACACGGCCCAGACUCCUACGGGAGGCAGCAGUGGGGAAUUUUGGACAAAGGGCGCAAGCCUGAUCCAGCAAUGCCGCGUGCAGGAAGAAGGCCUUCGGGUUGUAAACUGCUUUUGUACGGAACGAAACGGCUCUGGUUAAUACCCGGGGCUAAUGACGGUACCGUAAGAAUAAGCACCGGCUAACUACGUG
rnacentral:rRNA from 1 species